rnacentral:rRNA from 1 species
GUCCAGACUCCUACGGGAGGCAGCAGUGGGGGAUAUUGGACAAUGGGGGAAACCCUGAUCCAGCGACGCCGCGUGAGUGAAGAAGUAUUUCGGUAUGUAAAGCUCUGUCAGCAGGGAAGAAAGAAAUGACGGUACCUGACCAAGAAGCCCCGGCUAACUACGUGCCAGCAGCCGCGGUAAUACGUAGGGGGCAAGCGUUAUCCGGAUUCACUGGGUGUAAAGGGAGCGUAGACGGCGACGCAAGUCUGGAGUGAAAGCCCGGGGCCCAACCCCGGGACUGCUCUGGAAACUGCGUCGCUGGAGUACGGGAGGGGCAGGCGGAAUUCCUAGUGUAGCGGUGAAAUGCGUAGAUAUUAGGAGGAACACCAGUGGCGAAGGCGGCUUACUGGACUGUAACUGACGUUGAGGCUCGAAAGCGUGGGGAGCAAACAGGAUUAGAUACCCUCGUAC